GACGAACGCUGGCGGCGUGCCUAAUGCAUGCAAGUAGAACGCUGAAGAGAGGAGCUUGCUCUUCUUGGAUGAGUUGCGAACGGGUGAGUAACGCGUAGGUAACCUGCCUUGUAGCGGGGGAUAACUAUUGGAAACGAUAGCUAAUACCGCAUAACAAUGGAUGACACAUGUCAUUUAUUUGAAAGGGGCAAUUGCUCCACUACAAGAUGGACCUGCGUUGUAUUAGCUAGUAGGUGAGGUGAUGGCUCACCUAGGCGACGAUACAUAGCCGACCUGAGAGGGUGAUCGGCCACACUGGGACUGAGACACGGCCCAGACUCCUACGGGAGGCAGCAGUAGGGAAUCUUCGGCAAUGGGGGCAACCCUGACCGAGCAACGCCGCGUGAGUGAAGAAGGUUUUCGGAUCGUAAAGCUCUGUUGNUAGUCAAGAACGGGUGUGAGAGUGGAAAGUUCACACUGUGACGGUAGCUUACCAGAAAGGGACGGCUAACUACGUGCCAGCAGCCGCGGUUAUACGUAAGUCCCGAGCGUUGUCCGGAUUUAUUGGGCGUAAAGCGAGCGCAGGCGGUUUGAUAAGUCUGAAGUUAAGGCUGUGGCUCAACCAUAGUUCGCUUUGGAAACUGUCAAACUUGAGUGCAGGAGGGGAGAGUGGAAUUCCAUGUGUAGCGGUGAAAUGCGUAGAUAUAUGGAGGAACACCGGUGGCGAAAGCGGCUCUCUGGUCUGUAACUGACGCUGAGGCUCGAAAGCGUGGGGAGCGAACAGGAUUAGAUACCCUGGUAGUCCACGCCGUAAACGAUGAGUGCUAGGUGUUGGAUCCUUUCCGGGAUUCAGUGCCGCAGCUAACGCAUUAAGCACUCCGCCUGGGGAGUACGACCGCAAGGUUGAAACUCAAAGGAAUCGACGGGGGCCCGCACAAGCGGUGGAGCAUGUGGUUUAAUUCGAAGCAACGCGAAGAACCUUACCAGGUCUUGACAUCCCGAUGCUAUUUCUAGAGAUAGAAAGUUACUUCGGUACAUCGGUGACAGGUGGUGCAUGGUUGUCGUCAGCUCGUGUCGUGAGAUGUUGGGUUAUGUCCCGCAACGAGCGCAACCCCUAUUGUUAGUUGCCAUCAUUCAGUUGGGCACUCUAGCGAGACUGCCGGUAAUAAACCGGAGGAAGGUGGGGAUGACGUCAAAUCAUCAUGCCCCUUAUGACCUGGGCUACACACGUGCUACAAUGGUUGGUACAACGAGUUGCGAGUCGGUGACGGCGAGCUAAUCUCUUAAAGCCAAUCUCAGUUCGGAUUGUAGGCUGCAACUCGCCUACAUGAAGUCGGAAUCGCUAGUAAUCGCGGAUCAGCACGCCGCGGUGAAUACGUUCCCGGGCCU
rnacentral:rRNA from 1 species